CCUACGGGUGGCAGCAGUGGGGAAUAUUGGACAAUGGGGGGAACCCUGAUCCAGCCAUGCCGCGUGUGUGAAGAAGGCCCUCGGGUUGUAAAGCACUUUCAGUGAGGAAGAACGCCUGGUGGUUAAUACCCAUCAGGAAAGACGUCACUCACAGAAGAAGCACCGGCUAACUCCGUGCCAGCAGCCGCGGUAAUACGGAGGGUGCGAGCGUUAAUCGGAAUUACUGGGCGUAAAGCGCGCGUAGGUGGCUUGAUAAGCCGGUUGUGAAAGCCCCGGGCUCAACCUGGGAACGGCAUCCGGAACUGUCAAGCUAGAGUGCAGGAGAGGAAGGUAGAAUUCCCGGUGUAGCGGUGAAAUGCGUAGAGAUCGGGAGGAAUACCAGUGGCGAAGGCGGCCUUCUGGACUGACACUGACACUGAGGUGCGAAAGCGUGGGUAGCAAACAGGAUUAGAUACCCUGGUAGUC
rnacentral:rRNA from 1 species